rnacentral:rRNA from 1 species
AGAGUUUGAUCCUGGCUCAGAAUCAACGCUGGCGGCGUGCCUAACACAUGCAAGUCGAACGAGAAAGUGGAGCAAUCCAUGAGUACAGUGGCGACCGGGUGAGUAACACGUGACCAACCUGCCCUCGAGUGGGGAAUAACUCCGGGAAACCGGGGCUAAUACCGCAUAACAUCUUCGGAACGCCGGUUCUGAAGAUCAAA